UCUCGAUCUUCUAGAGGUGGGGUUAUCCCCGUGUGGACCUCUUCCCGUCCGGGGGGAACAGGAAAUGCCAGGCGUUCUGCUCUUUUCAGGGCAGGGCACCCGGGUCUAUAGCGGAUGCCUUCCUUAUUCCGUGGACGACCCACUUGUACUACGCGUUUCCCCCGUUCCCGCUGGUCCACAGGGUCCUUCUGAAGGUGCGCAGGGACAGGGCCCGCGUGAUCAUGGUAGCCCCGGCGUGGCCCAGGCAACAUUGGUACCCCAUGUUGCUGGACCUGGCCUUAGCCGACCCAGUUCCCCUGCCCCUUCACCCGGACCUGAUCACCCAGGAACACGGGACUCUCUGUCACCCGGACCUGCAGUCGCUGCACCUAGCGGCGUGGCUCCUGCGUGGCUGACCAGUUCUGAACUGCGCUGCUCCACCCCGGUACGGGAGGUACUCUUGGGCAGCAGGAAGCCUUCCACUAGAGCGACUUACUCGGCCAAGUGGAAGCGUUUCUCCUGUUGGUGCGUGGAGAAAGGUCUCCGCCCGAUGGAAGUUUCGGUGGCCAAUAUUUUAGACUAUAUUUGGUCCCUCAAACAACAGGGCCUGGCGAUAUCGUCCUUGCGGGUCCACCUGGCGGCUAUCUCCACCUUUCACCCGGGUGGGGAUGGCCGCUCCGUUUUUUCUCACCCGACGGUGACUAGAUUCCUGAAGGGGCUGGAACGUUUAUACCCUAACGUCCGACUCCCUGCUCCAACCUGGGAUCUUAACCUGGUGUUGUCUCGGCUCAUGGGGCCCCCCUUCGAGCCGUUAGCUACUUGCUCCCUACUCUAUUUCUCUUGGAAGACUGCCUUUCUAGUAGCUAUCACCUCAGCUAGACGGGUGUCGGAACUCCGGGCUCUCACGGUAGACCCCCCGUAUACAGUCUUCCAUAAAGAUAAGGUGCAGCUGAGGCCACACCCGGCCUUUCUCCCCAAGGUGGUCUCAGCCUUCCACAUCAACCAAGAGAUAUUCCUCCCGUUUUUUUUCCCGAAACCUUACUCUUCAGGCAGGGACCAACAGCUCCACUCGCUUGACGUCCGUAGGGCUCUCGCGUUCUAUGUGGAGAGGACCAAACCGUUCCGCAAAUCCCCCCAGCUUUUCAUGGCAGUAGCGGACCGCAUGAAGGGGCUUCC
rnacentral:lncRNA from 1 species